rnacentral:tRNA from 1 species
GGCCUUAUAGUCUAUUAGGACAAUAAAUUGCAAAUUUAUAGGUGGGUUAAUCUCUAAGGCUU